GACGAACGCUGGCGGCGUGCUAUACAUGCAAGUAGAACGCUGAAGAGAGGAGCUUGCUCUUCUUGGAUGAGUUGCGAACGGGUGAGUAACGCGUAGGUAACCUGCCUGGUAGCGGGGGAUAACUAUUGGAAACGAUAGCUAAUACCGCAUGAUAUUGAAUAUCGCAUGAUAAUUAAUUGAAAGGUGCAAUUGCAUCACUACCAGAUGGACCUGCGUUGUAUUAGCUAGUUGGUGAGGUAACGGCUCACCAAGGCGACGAUACAUAGCCGACCUGAGAGGGUGAUCGGCCACACUGGGACUGAGACACGGCCCAGACUCCUACGGGAGGCAGCAGUAGGGAAUCUUCGGCAAUGGGGGGAACCCUGACCGAGCAACGCCGCGUGAGUGAAGAAGGUUUUCGGAUCGUAAGCUCUGUUGUAAGAGAAGAAGCGGUGUGAGAGUGGAAAUGUGCACAUCUGAGACUGUGUAUC
rnacentral:rRNA from 1 species